CGGACUCACCGUACACCCCUUGGCCGGAGCUGCCCUCCAGCAGAACCGUCAGCAGCCCCAGCAGCCCGAUCGCUACAUCCAUCUUCACGGACGAGGAAGAAACUCCCAACAUUAAACAGUUUGCUCAGAGCUGCACCUUUGCUUGGCCUCAGGCAGCUCCAUCCCGAUUAAAGCACAGGAAGAAUUGGAAAACACGGGAAGAGCUGGAAAACACGGGAAGAACUGGAAAACAGGACACCUGGAAAAGAUCUGGACCUCCACACUAAAGGGUACAACAGCACUGAUAAUGCCAACUCUGAUGCCUUUUCCAGAAUCGUUCCUUUCCCUCCUCCUGGCAGCUGCAUCCCAAUCCUCACUCCUGACCUUUCCAAGUCCUCUCGUCUAAAGGUUCCCUUCAUUCCAUGGCACAUCCCAGAAUAGCAAUGUUCCAGAUUAAUCCCGGGUUACUGGAGGAAGGAAAAAGCCAGGGAUGCUGGUUCUGGAAAAAAACUCUUGGUCAUGGAAUGAUCCCUCCAGACAAUACCAGGAACUUGGGGAAGGAAAUCUCAGGAGCAACACUGGGAAAGAAAUACAAACAUUUCUCCCCUGUUACACCUCAGUUUAUGUCCAUGGUGCCCCAUUCCCAUUAUCCCACCACCAGAUGUGGACGGGGUGAAUUUGACCUCUCCAGGACUUUUUGGAGCUGGAGACCAUAAGUCACCCAGGGAGAAGAGUCCAUGGGUGCGGGCAGGACACUGAGCAGCAAAUUAAAAAUUGCUCUGAAAAUUCCUUCUGCCUCAUUUUGUUUGGAAAUCAAGAAAACCCCGAUGUUUUCCGGAGGUCUUGGAA